rnacentral:rRNA from 1 species
AUUGAACGCUGGCGGAAUGCUUUACACAUGCAAGUCGAACGGCAGCACGGGGCAACCUGGUGGCGAGUGGCGAACGGGUGAGUAAUACAUCGGAACGUGCCCAAUCGUGGGGGAUAACGUAGCGAAAGUUACGCUAAUACCGCAUACGAUCUACGGAUGAAAGCGGGGGAUCGCAAGACCUCGCGCGAAUGGAGCGGCCGAUGUCAGAUUAGGUAGUUGGUGGGGUAAAGGCCUACCAAGCCAACGAUCUGUAGCUGGUCUGAGAGGACGACCAGCCACACUGGGACUGAGACACGGCCCAGACUCCUACGGGAGUCAGCAGUGGGGAAUUUUGGACAAUGGGCGCAAGCCUGAUCCAGCCAUUCCGCGUGCAGGAUGAGGGCCUUCGGGUUGUAAACUGCUUUUGUACGGAACGAAACGGUUCUCUCUAAUACAGGGGGCUAAUGACGGUACCGUAAGAAUAAGCACCGGCUAACUACGUGCCAGCCGCCGCGGUAAGAC